rnacentral:rRNA from 1 species
UACAGAGGUCCCAAGCGUUGUUCGGAUUCACUGGGCGUAAAGGGUGCGCAGGCGGCCAAGUGUGUCAGAUGUGAAAUCCCGAGGCUCAACCUCGGAACUGCGUCUGAAACUACUUGGCUAGAGUAUUGGAGAGGGUAACGGAAUUCACGGUGUAGCAGUGAAAUGCGUAGAUAUCGUGAGGAACACCAGAGGCGAAGGCGGUUACCUGGACAAUUACUGACGCUCAGGCACGAAAGCAUGGGGAGCAAAAAGGG